GCCUCGGUGGUAUAGUGGUACGGUACGCCUUCCCGAAUAGGAUGCAACGCUGGUUCGAUUCCCUCUUGAGGCC